GAUGAACGCUGGCGGCGUGCCUAAUACAUGCAAGUCGAGCGAACAGACGAGGAGCUUGCUCCUCUGACGUUAGCGGCGGACGGGUGAGUAACACGUGGAUAACCUACCUAUAAGACUGGGAUAACUUCGGGAAACCGGAGCUAAUACCGGAUAAUAUAUUGAACCGCAUGGUUCAAUAGUGAAAGACGGUUUUGCUGUCACUUAUAGAUGGAUCCGCGCCGCAUUAGCUAGUUGGUAAGGUAACGGCUUACCAAGGCAACGAUGCGUAGCCGACCUGAGAGGGGGAUCGGCCAAACUGGAACUGAGACACGGUCCAGACUCCUACGGGAGGCAGCAGUAGGGAAUCUUCCGAAAUGGGCGAAAGCUUGACGGAGCAACGCCGCGUGAGUGAUGAAGGUCUUCGGAUCGUAAAACUCUGUUAUGAGGGAAGAACAAAUGUGUAAGUAACUAUGCACGUCUUGACGGUACCUAAGCAGAAAGCCACGGCUAACUACGU
rnacentral:rRNA from 1 species